CGGCCUUUACUGAGGAGGAACUGAUCAGGCUUAUGCUGCGUUCCAGACACAGUUUAUAGCCGUCAAGUUACGACUUCAAGUCACGACUCACGACUUGGUAGCGUUCCAGGCGAAGUCACGACAAACCCUUCUAGCUAGCAUCAGCUAGCGGCUACCUAACGGUGAUGUUACUGGCUGAUUCUAACGAUUUCUACUCUGCGACAUAUU